GAUGAGGCAUUGAUGUUGAAAACUACCUAUUUUAUGAGGGAAUGAAUUCCCCUUUUGUGAUUAUAAAUCACCAAUGGAUCCUUCUGAGCCUUCAU